CUGGCCCUGAAUCAAGGCCGGCAGCUUCCUGAUGUUGUUGGUUUUGAGCAGGAGCCUAAAGAGUUGUCUUUCUAUGGUCUGUUGGCCAUUUCAGAACUUGGGCAGAGAACUGGUCAAUUCAUUAGAAAGAAACAGCU
ensembl:snoRNA small nucleolar RNA SNORA2/SNORA34 family